GCCCGCGUGGCUCAAUCGGUAGAGCGUCAGACUCUUAUCCAGAUAUCUGAAGGCUGCGAAUUCGAGCCUCGCCGUGGGCU
rnacentral:tRNA from 1 species